UCUGAGCUUUUGAACAGCGAUAAAUAGUCUACAUGCGGAUCUCGACAGUUAUAGUGUAAAAGGUAGCAACCAGGCUCCAGGGGGCCUGUUGAUUAUAUGUCCAGGGAAAGGUUCACAGAAGCACAUGCCUGCCCAUCUGCUAGCUGGACGCGCUCUGAGUCAAACAGGAAGCCUCUGCAGAGCGGAGUAAGGUCACCGAGGACGUGCCACAGGCUGGACCUCCAAACUCUACUAGAAAAUUAAACAAGCACACGGAAGCACAUUAGUGGCCAGAGAAGUUUGAAGUGGACUUAGUGUGGGAUAAACAUGAAGCUAUUUCUAGAUUUCUCACGAGAGAAUCACAGACACAUGCCACAUAACUGUAUUAGAACGUCCACCAUCUAAUCAGUUCUCCCAGUCAGGGAGCAUAGGGCACAAGGCCACUUCAGAUAUCAAGUCACACACUGGUCAUUUAGAGAAACCAGUAACCUAACUGUAAGUUAGGGUGAACAUGUGAAUGCUACACACACGCAGGAGAAGUGGGACUUGAACCCCCAGCCCUGAAGGUAUCAGAAUAACAUGCUAAACGCUGGGGCAGUGUGCCACCCUUUGGUGAAAGGAAUUCAUAUUUAUCAAGCAGUUUUUCUGUUUCUACACUGUGUGGCCACAUACUAAAGCAGUGUUUCCCAACCCAGUCCUUCGGGAUGUCCAGAUGGUCCACGUUUUUGCUGCCUCCCAGCUCCCUGCCAGACAGUCCCAAGAGGACCUGGCUGCAGAACACUGGGCAAUCUCCACUAGGAGAAACUCCACUGUGGGGCCGGAAGUCACAUGACCUCCACUCCUAGUUCCCAAUGUUACACUGACAUUAUAUGCAGCGCUAUUGCAGAGUCAUGACUUCGAGUUUCCUAGCGGCGGUUUAUCUUCUGUUAUAUAGAGAAUAAUAGGAUAUAAUCCAAGUGUAGAUAAUAAUAAUAUCCUGUCCUAUAGUAUAAUAAUAUAUUAUUAUAAUACAACAUUAAUAAUAAUAAUUAUUAU